CAGUCGUUGCCACUCCUUUGCGCGGCUACGACCUACCUGCAUCCCUGCACGCCGCCCCUCACCACUCGCCUGCGAUCCUCUCUCCCGGCGCCGCUCCUCACCACUGCCCUGCGACCCUCCGUCCUAGCGCGCCGCCCCUCGUCACCGCUCCCCUGCGACCAACGGUGAAUCCAAGGUACGGCCAUGAACAAGCACAGGCAACCACAUCCCUCGUUCCACAUCCGUAGCCCCUCGCGGUACCAAUGCAUUAUCCACAUCUGUAGCCCCGUUCGUCCUCCUCCGGUGCUCCUCCUAAUUGUUUUCCACUAUUCACGUGUCCUCCGUGUAAAACGAUCCAGGAAGCCUCUUUUUUUUUGCGAAUAGGAAUCCUCUCCCUGAUCCCUGCUCUGGAACCUUUUAAUAUCCACUGCACCAGGACAUCCUUCCAAUCUCACAUUCUAUGCCCAACGAAAACUGAAAUCCAAUGCAGUGGAGAAGGCGGUACAUCAAAGAAAGUUUGUAUCUGAUUGGACAGCCUCUAUUGUUGAUGAAGUUGUGGAGAAGAGGAACUAUUGCAGGCUGGUCGCAGUUUCAGACAUCUGAAGAUACACAUUACUUGGAUGGCUAAAUUAGUAGGUGCUACACAAGCAACUAGGUGAUUCAAUUCAGCGAAGGCGUGGUCGUACCUCUGCACAGCGAACUCAAGCACCACUUCUAAUAUUGUUGGAAAGUGGAUAAGUCGUUUUGGAGCAUUACACGAUUUGUUCAGUCUACUUCGCUAUGUUCCUUACAUGCAAAAGAUGGAAUAUCUUUGAUAGUGUUGUUGCAGACUUGAAGGUAUAUGCAUCAGGAGGUCAAGGUGGCAGUGGCACCGUAACAGUAUUUAUUUGAA